AAACUGAAGAGUUUGAUCCUGGCUCAGAUUGAACGCUGGCGGCAUGCCUUACACAUGCAAGUCGAACGGCAGCACGGGGGGUAACCCCUGGUGGCGAGUGGCGAACGGGUGAGUAAUAUAUCGGAACGUGUCCUGUAGCGGGGGAUAACCUAUCGAAAGAUGGACUAAUACCGCAUACGACCUAUGGGUGAAAGCGGAGGACCGCAAGGCUUCGCACUAUAGGAGCGGCCGAUAUCGGAUUAGCUAGUUGGUGGGGUAAAAGCCUACCAAGGCGACGAUCCGUAGCUGGUCUGAGAGGACGAUCAGCCACACUGGAACUGAGACACGGUCCAGACUCCUACGGGAGGCAGCAGUGGGGAAUUUU
rnacentral:rRNA from 1 species